ACUGGUGUAGUGGUAUGUACUGUAUAACCCCUGCGACUGGGGAGGCUAAAGUAUUGCUUGAGUUCAGCGGUCCUGAGCUGCAGCGUGCUAAGCUGAUCUGGGGUCUACAUCAACUUGGGCAUUCAGAUGUUGAAUCCUUGGGAGCAGGGGUGCCAUCAGAUUGAUUAAGGAGAGACGAACUGAUCCAGAUUGGAAAUGGAGCAGAUCAAAAUUCCAGUGCCACUCAUAGUUGAAUUGGGACCUCUGAGUAGCUACUGUAGCUCCUACCUGGGAGAGAUAGGCACACCUAAUCUUU
rnacentral:SRP_RNA from 1 species